UCAUUUUCGUCCGCCAACCAUACUUUGGCUGUUAGUUCCUGAUACACCUGAAGAUGAGUUGUGUCUUUGAUCCCCGUUACCAAAAACAUUAAGAUCUUCAAAUAACCUAUAAGAUGGAAUGAAGGGUUUUUGUCCAGCAGUAGAGGAUGUCGUCUUGGGGCUAGGCCGAAUCUGUGCAUCCCCAUUGAUAGCUACACCAUUGCUUCCCAUAGUAGGAAUUGAGUUAACAUUCUGUACAGGUCUAGGACCUUGCAAAGGCAUGGAUGUGUUUUGUGGAGUUGAGUACAUAUAGGACGGUCUAGUUGAAUGAUUCAGAUUGCUAAAAUAUCCGGGAGUUGAUGCCCAAGGUGGAGGCGGAUAAGCAGAGUACUGUGGGAAUUGAGUCUGAGCACGUGGCGGUAAUUGUUGAGGCUGAGGAUGAAGUUCUAGCUGAGUUCUAGGUUGUUGGUUCAGUUCAGUUUGUAAAGGACAUUGUGGAAGCUGUUGCGAGGUAUGCUGAGAUUGUAAUGAUGAUUCUUGGGGAUACUGUGGUUGAGGCCGAGGAUGAGGUUGAUGCAGAGGCUGGGCUUGAGGUUGGGCCUGGGCCUGGGUCUGGAACUGCGCUUGGGUUGGGGUUUGAAAUUGGUGAUGAUAUUGAGGUUGGGACUGAGGUUGGGACUGAGGUUGAAACUGAGGAGGAAACUGAGGUUGCGACUGAGAUUGAGGUUGGGGUUGGGGCUGAGUCUGAGCCCAAGGAGCUACAUAACUGUUAAAGCUCUGAUCUUGAUAUCCAAGAUAAGCUUGAGAUGCAUAUGGAUUCCCUUGCGUGGUUGAGGCAACAGGCUCCUGAUGCGUGCUAUGAUUGGCUGAAGCAGAAUUUUGUGGGGUCUCGGGAUAUAUACUUGAUGACAAGGUCAGGCUCAAGAGAUCAAUUAUAUCUUGUUCUUUCGUGGGCAUAGCAGUUGGAGGCGGAUCUCGAAGAAUCAAUGCAUUGCUUGUGACAGGAUCCAAUGAUUCUCCCGUAGAAUUGCUAUUAUAGGCAGAGACCAUACCUUCACUUGUUUGCGCUGCUGGACUUGUUUUUGAAUGUCUGCAUCAGCACAAGCGACAACUUCAUUAGAGAAGACAGACCCAAAGCUGUAAAUACAUCAUAAAUCGCAGUUAGUACUUUUGACUUCCAAUAACAUUUAAGGGCAACAUAGUGCACUAAGCUCCCGCUAUGUGCGAGGUCCGGGAAGGACCGGACCACAUUGGAUCUUAUGUAUGCAGCCUUACCAUGCAUUUCUGCAAGAGGCUUGCCGUGAUUAAAUCCAAAUAAAAGUCACUAGCCUUUAUAUUGAGAACUACCCACCCCCCUUCCUUUCUUCAACCAUCUGAACCUUUUGGAAAACCAAAACGACAAUUAAGAAGUACAAUAACGGUCACAACUACAUAAAAAUUUCCUUCCUAUGAAAGUAAUAGCCUGAAAAUCUUGAUCUCUGCCAUGCAUCCACAGCUCUGCAUAAGAGCAAUGAGUUGUUUUAUAUUGGAAGUAAAUGCAGGUUUUGUAUAUUUACCUUCGAGCUAACUGGGCAAAGUCAUCUUCUUCAUCUUCCUCUUCAUCAAUUUGACCUGCUGUUGGUGCAAGAACUGGUGCAGAAGGUUUUGCAUCUGCUGCUGGAGUAGGUGGCUCAACUUCAGCAGGUUUGAGGCUUGGAUCAUGCAUUUCUCUAGCUGAGAUGUUGUUGUUUGGGACUUCAGUUGGAAGUGGAGAACCAGAAGCUAUUGCGUCAUGUUUAGCCAGCACCAUUUGGAGGUUAUCAUUUAAUUCAAGACCCUGAGCCAGAAGUUCUUCAUCCCUAAACACAAACCAGAGCAACUUUUAAGAGGUGAUGAAAAUAUGCUGAUAAAGAAAGAAAAGAAAUAGCAAAUACCAGCCUAGUUAACAUUUGCGUCAAUAUCUUUCUCAUGAACACACCAUAAGAAACAAAAGAUGGAGAAUUACCCGGUGGUGGUCAACAUUUGCAUCAACUUCUUCUGGUUAGAGCGACACUGGUAGACAAGAUCAACUAUAACUUCAUCUUGUACAGCCUAUACAAAACAAAGAUAGAAAAGGAUUAAAGAGGUUCCAUUAAUGAGGUGAAUGAAGGAAGAGUGAGAGAAGUUACUUACCAAGCGAUCGCCUGGAGUCACGGCUUGUAGCAUAUCAGCCAACAGAUCAGCAACUUCCUUCAUAGAAUUUAUGCUGGACAAGCUGCAAGGUAAAAAAGUUAGGACAAAGGAUAUGAUAAAGUAAAUCAUAACAAACCAAUUUAUAUAGUGCAACAACAUCGGAUCAAUAGGCCUGACAUGGCGUACGUCAACUUACCUUAAGUUUUCCAUAUCUGCUGCCAUGGCCUCGUCAAGUCUUGUUGAGGAAUUGCUUGGCAUUCCAUAACCAGGUUGAGGUUGUCUUGGUGCAGGAUGAGUAACAGGUGGAGUAAAAAUUGGAGCUGUAUCAAAUGAACGCUUGGGAAAUUCAACGCCAGCACGC
rnacentral:lncRNA from 1 species